CAAAACGACUCUCGGCAACGGAUAUCUCGGCUCUCGCAUCGAUGAAGAACGUAGCGAAAUGCGAUACGCGGUGUGAAUUGCAGAAUCCCGUGAACCAUCGAGUUUUUGAACGCAAGUUGCGCCCGAAGCCUUCUGGUUGAGGGCACGUCUGCCUGGG
rnacentral:rRNA from 1 species